CCUACGGGCGGCAGCAGUGAGGAAUAUUGGUCAAUGGCCGGAAGGCUGAACCAGCCAUGCCGCGUGAAGGUCAGUGCCCUAUGGGCGUUAAACCUCUUUUGUGCGGGAGCAAUAAUGGUCACGUGUGGCCAGACGAGAGUACCGUACGAAUAAGCAUCCGCUCACUCCGUGCCAGCAGCCGCGGUAAUACGGGGGGUGACAGCGUUAUCCGGAAUUAGUGGGUUUAAAGGGUGCGUCGGCCGUGAGGUAAGUCAGCGGUGAAAUGCCCCGGCUCAACGGGGUGAAGGGCCAUUGAUACUGGCUGGCUGGAAUGCGGAUGCCGUGGGAGGAAUGUGUGGUGUAGCGGUGAAAUGCAUAGAGAUCACACAGAACACCGAUUGCGAAGGCAGCUCACGAAUCCGCGAUUGACGCUGAGGCACGAAAGCGUGGGUAUCAAACAGGAUUAGAUACCCUGGUAGUC
rnacentral:rRNA from 1 species